AUUGAACGCUGGCGGCAGGCUUAACACAUGCAAGUCGAGCGGGGAAAAGUAGCUUGCUACUGGACCUAGCGGCGGACGGGUGAGUAAUGCUUAGGAAUCUGCCUAUUAGUGGGGGACAACAUCUCGAAAGGGAUGCUAAUACCGCAUACGUCCUACGGGAGAAAGCAGGGGACCUUCGGGCCUUGCGCUAAUAGAUGAGCCUAAGUCGGAUUAGCUAGUUGGUGGGGUAAAGGCCUACCAAGGCGACGAUCUGUAGCGGGUCUGAGAGGAUGAUCCGCCACACUGGGACUGAGACACGGCCCAGACUCCUACGGGAGGCAGCAGUGGGGAAUAUUGGACAAUGGGGGGAACCCUGAUCCAGCCAUGCCGCGUGUGUGAAGAAGGCCUUUUGGUUGUAAAGCACUUUAAGCGAGGAGGAGGCUACCGAGAUUAAUACUCUUGGAUAGUGGACGUCACUCGCAGAAUAAGCACCGGCUAACUCUGUGCCAGCAGCCGCCGCCG
rnacentral:rRNA from 1 species